GAUGAACGCUGGCGGCGUGCCUAAUACAUGCCAGUCGAGCGAACGGACGAGAAGCUUGCUUCUCUGAUGUUAGCGGCGGACGGGUGAGUAACACGUGGAUAACCUACCUAUAAGACUGGGAUAACUUCGGGAAACCGGAGCUAAUACCGGAUAAUAUUUUGAACCGCAUGGUUCAAAAGUGAAAGACGGUCUUUCUGUCACUUAUAGAUGGAUCCGCGCUGCAUUAGCUAGUUGGUAAGGUAACGGCUUACCAAGGCAACGAUGCAUAGCCGACCGGAGAGGGUGAUCGGCCACACUGGAACUGAGACACGGUCCAGACUCCUACGGGAGGCAGCAGUAGGGAAUCUUCCGCAAUGGGCGAAAGCCUGACGGAGCAACGCCGCGUGAGUGAUGAAGGUCUUCGGAUCGUAAAACUCUGUUAUUAGGGAAGAACAUAUGUGUAAGUAACUGUGCACAUCUUGACGGUACCUAAUCAGAAAGCCACGGCUAACUACGUG
rnacentral:rRNA from 1 species